rnacentral:tRNA from 5 species
CUUAGCUCAGCUGGAUAGAGCACCGGCCUUCUAAGCCGUAGGUCACAGGUUCGAAUCCUGUA